UUUUUUUUUACAGUCUAUGGUCGCAAUCCCAAGGUUCAUUGCGAUCCCAAGGUCCACUGCGGUUUUCCACGCGUCUGUUUCUGCCUAUCACAAUGAGUGAUUCAGAACUUCAAGAGCAACUUUUGAACCUUGAUAAUCGGAUUGAUCAAGAUUUCAAUUAUAAGCUCAAGUCUUGAUGACAACUUGGUGAUCUGCAGGAAGCAACUCCAGUAAAGACAACUGAACCAAGGGUAUGGUGGAGAAAGAGACACAUUGUGUAAGGAAGGCCAAGACCAAUCUGGAAUCAAUAAAGGCUCAUAGGAACUCCAAUCGUCCCAACUGUGAGAGGGCCUUGCUCCAGUGACUGUUGG